rnacentral:rRNA from 1 species
AACGAACGCUGGCGGCAUGCCUAACACAUGCAAGUCGAACGAGACCUUCGGGUCUAGUGGCGCACGGGUGCGUAACGCGUGGGAACCUGCCCUUAGGUUCGGAAUAACUCCCCGAAAGGGGUGCUAAUACCGGAUAAUGUCUUCGGACCAAAGAUUUAUCGCCUUUGGAUGGGCCCGCGUUGGAUUAGCUAGUUGGUAGGGUAAAAGCCUACCAAGGCGACGAUCCAUAGCUGGUCUGAGAGGAUGAUCAGCCACACUGGGACUGAGACACGGCCCAGACUCCUACGCGAGGCAGCAGUGGGGAAUAUUGGACGAUGGGCGAAAGCCUGAUCCAGCAGUGCCGCGUGAGUGAUGAAGGCCUUAGUGUUGUAAAGCUCUUUUACCCGGGAUGAUAAUGACAGUACCGGGAGAAUAAGCGCCGGCUAACUCCGUG